rnacentral:lncRNA from 1 species
UGUUUUUUCACCUUAUUUAACUGAUAUUUGUAAGAAUGGUGGUUUUUGUUGCAUUUUAAUUGGCGUGUGUUUAUUUACAAUUUGAGUGUAUAGAAUUCAAGCUUCGUUUGAUUUGGGUAUAAAUAAGAACUACUUAUUUUAGGGAUAUGUAUAAGUUCAGGUAUAAGUAAGAACUGAACCAAUUUUACGUGUGGAUGAAAAUUGGAUUGUUCGUGGGAAUAAGAAAAAUAACGUUUGGAUGAAAAUUUUUUCCGAGAAUAAGAAAAAUAGCAUUUGGAUGGAUAAGAUGGAAUAAGAAAAAUAGUUUGUAGUUAUAAAUAAAAAAUAAUGAUAUUACUCCUCUCAUUAAAUUUGAAUUUGAAUUUUUAAAUUUCAUAUUUCAAUUUUUAACUUUUAAAUUUUAAUUUUUAAAUUUCAAAAUUUAAAUUUAAAAUAUAAAAUUUAAAAUCUCAAAUUGUAAAUUUUAAAUUUUACAUUUUAAAUUUAAGAUCAAAUUUAAAUUUAAAAAUUAUAAAAUAUCGAAUUAAAAUUUAAAAAAUUAUAAAUAUCAAAUUUUAAAUUUGAAAAAUAUAAAAUAUCAAAUUUGAAAUUUGGAAUUUAAAAAUUAUAAAUUUUAAUUUUAAAAUUAAAAUUAUAAAUUUUGUAAUAAAUUUAAAAUUAUAAAUUUAAAAUUCUCUCUCUCUCUCUUAA